rnacentral:rRNA from 1 species
UACGAAGGGGGCGAGCGUUGUUCGGAUUUACUGGGCGUAAAGGGCGCGCAGGCGGCUUUGUUUGUCAGAUGUGAAAGCCCCGGGCUUAACCUGGGAACUGCAUUUGGGACGGCAGAGCUAGAGAUCGGGAGAGGAGAGUGGAAUUCCCAGUGUAGAGGUGAAAUUCGUAGAUAUUGGGAAGAACACCGGUGGCGAAGGCGGCUCUCUGGACCGAUACUGACGCUGAGGCGCGAAAGCGUGGGGAGCAAACAGG